rnacentral:piRNA from 1 species
GACACAGAAGUCCAGCUGAUGCCAGACAGC